rfam:Picea glauca, whole genome shotgun sequence.
CCGACUUUAGCUCAGUUGGUAGAGCGGAGGACUGUAGUGGGAGAGAAUCCUGGUUGUAAUCCUUAGGUCGCUGGUUCGAAUCCGGCAAGUCGGA